rnacentral:rRNA from 1 species
UACGUAGGGCGCAAGCGUUGUCCGGAAUUAUUGGGCGUAAAGGGCGCGUAGGCGGCCUUCUAAGUCGAACGUGAAAUCCCUGGGCUCAACCCAGGAACUGCGUCCGAUACUGGGAGGCUUGAAUCCGGGAGAGGGAUGCGGAAUUCCAGGUGUAGCGGUGAAAUGCGUAGAUAUCUGGAGGAACACCGGUGGCGAAGGCGGCAUCCUGGACCGGUAGUUGACGCUGAGGCGCGAAAGCCAGGGGAGCAACGG